AGUCGAGCGAACCACUUCGGUGGGAAGCGGCGAACGGGUGAGUAACACGUAGGUGAUCUGCCCAUCAGACGGGGACAACGAUUGGAAACGAUCGCUAAUACCGGAUAGGACGAAAGUUUAAAGAUGCUCCUGGCAUCACUGAUGGAUGAGCCUGCGGCGCAUUAGCUAGUUGGUGGGGUAAAGGCCUACCAAGGCGACGAUGCGUAGCCGACCUGAGAGGGUGAACGGCCACACUGGGACUGAGACACGGCCCAGACUCCUACGGGAGGCAGCAGUAGGGAAUCUUCGGCAAUGGGCGAAAGCCUGACCGAGCAACGCCGCGUGAAUGAAGAAGGCCUUCGGGUUGUAAAAUUCUGUUAUAAGGGAAGAAAGGUGAUAGGAGGGAAUGACUAUCAAUUGACGGUACCUUAUGAGAAAGCCACGGCUAACUACGUGCCAGCAGCCGCGGUAAUACGUAGGUGGCAAGCGUUAUCCGGAAUUAUUGGGCGUAAAGAGCGCGCAGGUGGUUAAUUAAGUCUGAUGUGAAAGCCCACGGCUUAACCGUGGAGGGUCAUUGGAAACUGGUUGACUUGAGUGCAGAAGAGGGAAGUGGAAUUCCAUGUGUAGCGGUGAAAUGCGUAGAGAUAUGGAGGAACACCAGUGGCGAAGGCGGCUUCCUGGUCUGCAACUGACACUGAGGCGCGAAAGCAUGGGGAGCAAACAGGAUUAGAUACCCUGGUAGUCCACGCCGUANACGAUGAGUGCUAAGUGUNGGGGGUCG
rnacentral:rRNA from 1 species